ensembl:lncRNA
AAAUUUGAAUCUGAAUUGUAACUUGAAUAAAAGCUUUUGAAAACUGAAUUUGAAUUAGUCUAAUUUGAAAUUGAAUUUAUGGUUUGAAAAUGAUCAUCACUAAAUUGAAAUUGAAUUUUAUAUCUUGAAAAUGAAUUGAUUUGCUUUGAAACUGCAUUUUAUCCUUUAAAAAUGCAGCUCUCCAAUAAUUUCAGUUUCACUUCUCACCAUUCAGUUUCAGUUCUACAAUUCAAUUUCAGUUCCAAAAUUCAGUUUUUUGGGACUUACAUCCGGUUCCGGUUCAAGCGCAGAUUAAUAGAACUACAUUUUGCCAGCGGACUGAAAGUGUUACUGAUGGGAAUCUACAGCGUCUUGAGCUGAAUUAAGACUUCAGAAGUCAUUCGUCAUGUCGAAUGACCAGCGGAUAAACUCUCAGGUGUUUUGUGCCAGAAAUGGAGUGUCCACUGAAGACUGAAGAUACUGAAUCUCUACGCUGUGCCAUUGAUCCCUCUUGUGCCUUCAUCUAGACAAGAGACAUCAACUUAACCACUCUUACAUGCUCUGUACCUACAGCACCUUCCCUGACAGUCGUAGCUCGGCUCAUCUGAGGGUGAAAUUAUAAGAUUGUGUUAUUUUGCAAAGUGCUCUCUAGGGUUCCUAAAUAAAAUAUGGCAUUUAGGUCAUUUCUUUUGAAUUAAUCCCUUCUUCUGAAAUAUAAGAACCUCUCCUGGUUUUAUUGGCACUUUCUGUUCCUUACUUCCUGUUCCACUCCCAACCUCAAAUAGAUGCUGACAAGCUGACACAGUAACAUGGAAGAGGGAAAGAAGUUGGAAAGGACUACUAUAAAUAAACCUAAUGCUUAACAAUGAAAAAUGUAAAAUAAGAACAAUAAUAAUAAUAAUAAAGAUAAAAGAUGAAGUAACAAGUUUUUAGUUUUUUGUUUAUUCCAAAUGAUCAUCCAGAUGUCUGUGACAUGUGAUGACAAACACAAUAAUGGAAGGCCUUAGUCAUCACAUGCUUAAACACAUAUUUUUGCAUAUGCUGAACAGGCAGUCAGACAUGCUGUAACUGUGGGGUAGAAAACUGCAUGAACACCAUACGGCAGGGGUCUCCAACUCCAGUCCACUGGAGUUGGAGACCCCUGUCAUAUUCCAUAUGACAGGUGUGGUUGAACUGCAUGAAGACUCUGAAGUUGCUCUUCUCUCCUAGCAGGACAGGAAUGUGGCCUUAUCCUGUGAGCCACCGUAAGGAUGUACUUAGAGUAGAACUGGACUGUCACCGGCCUCAGGCUCUUUACCUUUUCAAAGACAAAGCAGUCAUUUAGAUAAAAUAUUAGAUAUGGUUUACCUGUAAAUGCACAAAGAGAAUUUAGAAAUGUAAUUAUUGUCAAGAGUGAACAAGCACUGAUAGUGUAAUCUACAGCUGUGGCCAAACGUUUAGAGAAUGUGUUGUUGCAGUGUUGUGUAUUUACAAAGUUUGCUGUUUCAGUGAUAGUUGUAUAUCAUAUUAUAUCACUUCAAACGGAGGUGAUCCAGUAAUGCUGCACUAAUGAAUUAGAAUAACUAUUCACUUUAGCUAAAG